UCAAGGUUAUUUUAGUUUCCAAAGAUGGAAGCAGCCAUCUUUGUGCUCUAACUAUUUUACCUCGCUGGUUGCAAUAGCCGCAACAGGAAGUCAAAAUCAAUGACGUCAUAGAAUUCAAGGCAGUACUUUCGUAGUGCACCGCUCUCUAUAUCGGAACAUUAUUCGUAGUACUGACAGUACUCGAAGUGAAUAAAGGAACGCACCCUUCGUCAAUAAGACAGGUUUCCUAACCUUGAAUAACGCAAACUUUAACGACUAAUAUCUCGGCUCGCGGGGCAGAGCGACACUUUUUUCGCUCCAGAGCGCCAGAUUCUUUCGUUUCGUGCAAAAACGCGUCGAAUGAGCCUAAUUUUAUCGAAAUCAGAUUUUUUCUAUUCGUGCAACGAUGACAGUUGAGAAUAAGAAUGCGGAUGAAAGAAAAAGAGAUGAGAGCGAUGUUUACGGUGAAACGAUUAAGGACGGUGAAUUAUGGGGAGGUGAUAUGUAUCCUGAAAGAAGAGGAAAUAUUAAGCAAAGCUGGUUUAA
rnacentral:misc_RNA from 1 species